AUUGAACGCUGGCGGCAUGCCUUACACAUGCAAGUCGAACGGUAACAGGUUAAGCUGACGAGUGGCGAACGGGUGAGUAAUGUAUCGGAACGUGCCCAGUCGUGGGGGAUAACUGCUCGAAAGAGCAGCUAAAACCGCAUACGACCUGAGGGUGAAAGCGGGGGAUCGCAAGACCUCGCGCGAUUGGAGCGGCCGAUAUCAGAUUAGGUAGUUGGUGAGGUAAAGGCUCACCAAGCCGACGAUCUGUAGCUGGUCUGAGAGGACGACCAGCCACACUGGGACUGAGACACGGCCCAGACUCCUACGGGAGGCAGCAGUGGGGAAUUUUGGACAAUGGGCGCAAGCCUGAUCCAGCCAUGCCGCGUGCGGGAAGAAGGCCUUCGGGUUGUAAACCGCUUUUGUCAGGGAAGAAAAGGUUCUGGCUAAUACCUGGGACUCAUGACGGUACCUGAAGAAUAAGCACCGGCUAACUACGUG
rnacentral:rRNA from 1 species